CGUUGACAAACAUAACUGUAUUUCCCCCAACAGGAAAUAAUUUGAAUAACAUAGAAAACUAGAAUAAUUUUCAAAAGUUAUUGAGACAAUUGCGGUUUUAGAUCACCAGUGGACAUAUGCAAAUUAUUACAAACAUUUCUAUCUCCCCUCCCCCCUAUCCCCAAUCAAUCUUGUUUACCCAAACUCACAUCAGAGUAAGAUGCUAACUAAGAUCCAACAUUGAAAAGGGGGCGGGGUGGGGGUGUUGAAGUUUGUUAAAAUAGUAGGUACUUGGGGCAUCUGUCCCAACACAUUUGAAAUUAAUGGUAAGUUUCAUUUUUAGGUAACACACAUUACUGUAAUCCAUUGAAAUGAAUAUAACUGGAAUAAAUAUAAUCUGGGGGUCAUUUAGACACGCGUGUUUACUGUUUAUAUCGUAUGAUUGCCUGAUUGAGCACUCUUCCCAAGCGUGAAAAAACUGGGACUGGCCUUCAUGUUCAUGUUUGGCUUCGGAUUUCCAGGUUGGAGGUAGCAUUCCAGUUAUAUUCACUUCAGAGCUGUAAUCACAGAUUGUCUAUAUUUUCUAUAUGUCCUAUAAUUACAUUAUCGGUAAUAUAUAAUGUUUACAACACGAGCGGCCGUGUUGUAUCGGAUAUACAACAACUUAAAAAACGACUCAUCUUAUGAGUUCAUUGGCGAAGCAAUU